rnacentral:lncRNA from 1 species
UGCUCUCACUCUGCAGAGAGUACUUCUUUUUCACCUUCAAUAAAUGCAUACCUUUGCUAACCAAAAGAAAAGAAAAAACUGCGACACCACAUGGAAACCAAGCAUCCCUGCAUUAAAACACAGCCUUUGGAAUUUUUCAAAAGGAAAAAGGUGGACAUGAAGAACAGAAACAAUUACUGAUUCCCACCGCUUCAUCAAAUGUGUCUGGACUAAGAACAUUAUUCGUAGUGGUUACCUGCAUCACUAAAGCUAAGAAGCCCUUUACUAAGAGUCCCUGUGGACACCUCACAGAGAAAGAGAGAAUUGCUUGAAACACAUCUCCUCUCUGAAACGUUUUCCCUGUGCUGACCCUGUGGUUACAGCUGGAUUGGUAGAGUACCACCACCCCUUCCCACUAUAUCUUGAAAGUACCCCAUAUACUGGCACAGUCUCCAAGAGCGGAAGGCAUGCCUCAAAGUCACAGAUUUUGGACUGUUACCAGCUCUGCUACUUCCGUCACACAUACAGUCUUGGGAAGAGAAUGUUGUGCCACCCUCACCACCACCCCCAUCCACCUACCACACCCUUUUCUCCUUAUGAAACCUCAAAGAGCUCCAAGGAGGGAACCAGUUGCCACCUGCUGUGUUGCCCUCCACUAGUGUGACUGGUUUUUCCUGCUGCAGCAGCCCUGAUGACCCAUGGAGACCGAUGUAGUUAGCCUUGUAGGAUGGAAACUCAAGUUUGGCAGGCAAACAAUAAAAUAGGUCUUUUCAAGUGAUUCUGAGAACCUGAAAAGUGACUUUGUUGUAAAACCUGUGAUUUUCCUUUCUCCUUUCCAAUGAGUUGGAUUUUUGAACUAUACUUAGUAUUCAGAACUCAAAGUACUCUCUGUUCUUGCUGCUUGUGAAUGCAUUACAAAGUGAACCC